CAGACAAUAUGAAACUUCUAAUCGUUUUCGCUUUUUGCCUGAUCGUUGUCUUGGCUUUGCCUGCACCGAACCAGCAGGACGAUGAGGAUCAAGAACAGCAUACCCGAAGAAAAUUAAAAAGUGUUCGCUUACAACUAGUCGACAACGAUAAAAAACAUUCAACUCAACUCGGUCAA